GACGAACGCUGGCGGCGUGCUUAACACAUGCAAGUCGAACGAUGAAGCUGGAGCUUGCUCUGGUGGAUUAGUGGCGAACGGGUGAGUAACACGUGAGUAACCUGCCCUGGACUCUGGGAUAACCCCGAGAAAUCGGAGCUAAUACCGGAUAGGACCUUGGAUCGCAUGAUCUGGGGUGGAAAGUUUUUCGGUCUGGGAUGGACUCGCGGCCUAUCAGCUUGUUGGUGAGGUAAUGGCUCACCAAGGCGUCGACGGGUAGCCGGCCUGAGAGGGUGACGGGCCACACUGGGACUGAGACACGGCCCAGACUCCUACGGGAGGCAGCAGUGGGGAAUAUUGCACAAUGGGCGCAAGCCUGAUGCAGCAACGCCGCGUGCGGGAUGACGGCCUUCGGGUUGUAAACCGCUUUUAGUAAGGAAGAAGCCGCAAGGUGACGGUACUUGCAGAAAAAGGACCGGCUAACUACGUGCCAGCCGCCGCCGUAAUAC
rnacentral:rRNA from 1 species